rnacentral:rRNA from 1 species
AUGAGCGGGAGCGCGUUCAACGCCUUCAAGUCGCGCGUGCCGGUGGCGUGGAGCCCGAAGCUGUACAUCACGCUUGUGCGCGGGCUGCCCGGGACGCGCAAGCUCCACCGCCGCACCCUGGAGGCCAUGCGCCUCCGCCGCUGCCACCGCACCGUCGAGCACCGCACCACGCCCUCCCUCCUUGGCAUGCUCACCCAGGUCAAGCGCCUCGUCGUCGUCGAGACCGAGGAGAUGUACAACGCGCGGAAGCAGGCCGACGAGCAGCGCCGCGCGCUCAGGCCCCCGCUCGUCGUCUCGCACGCCCCGCCGCCCAAGCCGGCCGCCGCCGCGCCGGAGGGCGCCGGGCAGUAG